UCAAACCGAUUGCAGCUUCAUAGAGAGGAAAUCCGACCACAGUAUGUUUCUGUUUGACUUCAUGUGUCGUGUAUCACACCUCAGUAAAACCUGCAAUGAGGGAUGGGAAAUAAAACGUACCUGUUUUUCAACUCGUUUAUUCUUUUACUAAUGCACUCCUCUUACAGUUAGACGGGUGCCUUUUUAAAGCAAUGUUGAAUUAUAAAGUUUUUUUUUUUACAUUUCAAGUCUCAAGAGCCAGAAGAGGAUUUAUGUAACACACAGAUCAUUUGCAGUGGAAAGAUUGGACCAUGGACUUUUUUUUUAAUGUUUUACAAGCUUAUUUUGUUCUGUUUGUCCAGGUGGAGUCUGAUUGGUGUGUCUGGUUCUGAGACUAAUAAAACGCAGUCAGUGUCAGCAAUGGAGGGAGAUUCUGUCGCUCUGAACUUCUUACUACUUACAUGACUACGAAGACAUACUGUGGACAUUUGGGGUUGAAAACUUUCUCAUAGCUAAAAUCAGUAGAGGGGCUAAAGUCUUCCCCACAUUUGAUGUUUCUGAUGAGAGAUUCAGAGACAGACUGAAAAUAGACGAUCAAACUGGAUCUCUGACCAUCAUGAACAUCACAACUCAACAUGCAGGUGUUUAUAAAGUACAAAGAAGAGGAGCAAAUCUGAUAUCGAAAUUAUUUAGUGUUUCAGUCUAUGAUGUUUAUGCGACUGAAAAUGAAGCAGAGAUCAUUUACGCUGAUCCAAUAUUCAUACAUGCGAAAUAAACCGAAAUGGACCGCAGAAGAAACUCACACAGAGUAUUCACCAAUCCGCAUAAGAAAAUGAAACUAUAACUUGUUAUCUGGGUUUAGUAUGUGAUCUUUGAGAUGGUUGAGAGUUUCCACAGGCACAACCUACCUGAACUUUACAGAAAUUCUGACAUGAUGUAAUCAUUUACAUACAUGAUAUGGCUCCACAGCAUCCCAACUAGGACUAAAAGCUCAGUUUGAGAGUGCUGUGAUGUUUUUCAUUUGAUAUAUAAUCUGUUUUUCAACAGCAUGUGUACAAGGCUGCCUAUAUCGCUGUUCGCUCCAUUUGGUCGAUGCGCGUUUGAGGUGAGAAUAUGUGGUUGGAAGGCUUUUUCCACUUCUGCUAAUGCAAAACGUAGGCCGAGGCCUACUGUUAGAUGUCGAUGAUAGUCUAAUACGCAUUCUCUCAAAUCUAACAAUGAUAUUUCAGUGGAACAUUACUGUGUGAAAUGCCUAAACACCAUCAUAGAGAACUAUUAAAAGUACAUACACUUACA